UUAAGCGACUAAGCGUACACGGUGGAUGCCCUGGCAGUCAGAGGCGAUGAAGGACGUGCUAAUCUGCGAAAAGCGUCGGUAAGGUGAUAUGAACCGUUAUAACCGGCGAUGUCCGAAUGGGGAAACCCAGUGCAAUUCGUUGCACUAUCGUUAACUGAAUACAUAGGUUAACGAGGCGAACCGGGGGAACUGAAACAUCUAAGUACCCCGAGGAAAAGAAAUCAACCGAGAUUCCCCCAGUAGCGGCGAGCGAACGGGGAGCAGCCCAGAGUCUGAAUCAGCUUGUGUGUUAGUGGAACGGUCUGGAAAGUCCGACGGUACAGGGUGAUAGUCCCGUACACCAAAAUGCACAGGUUGUGAACUCGAAGAGUAGGGCGGGACACGUGGUAUCCUGUCUGAAUAUGGGGGGACCAUCCUCCAAGGCUAAAUACUCCUGACUGACCGAUAGUGAACCAGUACCGUGAGGGAAAGGCGAAAAGAACCCCGGCGAGGGGAGUGAAAAAGAACCUGAAACCGUGUACGUACAAGCAGUGGGAGCACCUUCGGGUGUGACUGCGUACCUUUUGUAUAAUGGGUCAGCGACUUAUAUUCUGUAGCAAGGUUAACCGUAUAGGGGAGCCGCAGGGAAACCGAGUCUUAACUGGGCGUUAAGUUGCAGGGUAUAGACCCGAAACCCGGUGAUCUAGCCAUGGGCAGGUUGAAGGUUGGGUAACACUAACUGGAGGACCGAACCGACUAAUGUUGAAAAAUUAGCGGAUGACUUGUGGCUGGGGGUGAAAGGCCAAUCAAACCGGGAGAUAGCUGGUUCUCCCCGAAAGCUAUUUAGGUAGCGCCUCGUGAACUCAUCUUCGGGGGUAGAGCACUGUUUCGGCUAGGGGGUCAUCCCGACUUACCAACCCGAUGCAAACUACGAAUACCGAAGAAUGUUAUCACGGGAGACACACGGCGGGUGCUAACGUCCGUCGUGAAGAGGGAAACAACCCAGACCGCCAGCUAAGGUCCCAAAGUCAUGGUUAAGUGGGAAACGAUGUGGGAAGGCACAGACAGCCAGGAUGUUGGCUUAGAAGCAGCCAUCAUUUAAAGAAAGCGUAAUAGCUCACUGGUCGAGUCGGCCUGCGCGGAAGAUGUAACGGGGCUAAACCAUGCACCGAAGCUGCGGCAGCGACACUAUGUGUUGUUGGGUAGGGGAGCGUUCUGUAAGCCUGCGAAGGUGACCUGUGAGGGUUGCUGGAGGUAUCAGAAGUGCGAAUGCUGACAUAAGUAACGAUAAAGCGGGUGAAAAGCCCGCUCGCCGGAAGACCAAGGGUUCCUGUCCAACGUUAAUCGGGGCAGGGUGAGUCGACCCCUAAGGCGAGGCCGAAAGGCGUAGUCGAUGGGAAACAGGUUAAUAUUCCUGUACUUGGUGUUACUGCGAAGGGGGGACGGAGAAGGCUAUGUUAGCCGGGCGACGGUUGUCCCGGUUUAAGCAUGUAGGCUGGUUAUCCAGGCAAAUCCGGAUAAUCAAGGCUGAGGUGUGAUGACGAGGCACUACGGUGCUGAAGUAACAAAUGCCCUGCUUCCAGGAAAAGCCUCUAAGCAUCAGGUAACAUCAAAUCGUACCCCAAACCGACACAGGUGGUCAGGUAGAGAAUACCAAGGCGCUUGAGAGAACUCGGGUGAAGGAACUAGGCAAAAUGGUGCCGUAACUUCGGGAGAAGGCACGCUGGUGUGUAGGUGAAGUCCCUGCGGAUGGAGCUGAGACCAGUCGAAGAUACCAGCUGGCUGCAACUGUUUAUUAAAAACACAGCACUGUGCAAACACGAAAGUGGACGUAUACGGUGUGACGCCUGCCCGGUGCCGGAAGGUUAAUUGAUGGGGUUAUCCGUAAGGAGAAGCUCUUGAUCGAAGCCCCGGUAAACGGCGGCCGUAACUAUAACGGUCCUAAGGUAGCGAAAUUCCUUGUCGGGUAAGUUCCGACCUGCACGAAUGGCGUAAUGAUGGCCAGGCUGUCUCCACCCGAGACUCAGUGAAAUUGAACUCGCUGUGAAGAUGCAGUGUACCCGCGGCAAGACGGAAAGACCCCGUGAACCUUUACUAUAGCUUGACACUGAACAUUGAGCCUUGAUGUGUAGGAUAGGUGGGAGGCUUUGAAGCGUGGACGCCAGUCUGCGUGGAGCCAACCUUGAAAUACCACCCUUUAAUGUUUGAUGUUCUAACGUUGGCCCCUGACCGGGGUUGCGGACAGUGUCUGGUGGGUAGUUUGACUGGGGCGGUCUCCUCCCAAAGCGUAACGGAGGAGCACGAAGGUUAGCUAAUCCUGGUCGGACAUCAGGAGGUUAGUGCAAUGGCAUAAGCUAGCUUGACUGCGAGCGUGACGGCGCGAGCAGGUGCGAAAGCAGGUCAUAGUGAUCCGGUGGUUCUGAAUGGAAGGGCCAUCGCUCAACGGAUAAAAGGUACUCCGGGGAUAACAGGCUGAUACCGCCCAAGAGUUCAUAUCGACGGCGGUGUUUGGCACCUCGAUGUCGGCUCAUCACAUCCUGGGGCUGAAGUAGGUCCCAAGGGUAUGGCUGUUCGCCAUUUAAAGUGGUACGCGAGCUGGGUUUAGAACGUCGUGAGACAGUUCGGUCCCUAUCUGCCGUGGGCGCUGGAGAAUUGAGGGGGGCUGCUCCUAGUACGAGAGGACCGGAGUGGACGCAUCACUGGUGUUCGGGUUGUCAUGCCAAUGGCACUGCCCGGUAGCUAAAUGCGGAAGAGAUAAGUGCUGAAAGCAUCUAAGCACGAAACUUGCCCCGAGAUGAGUUCUCCCUGAGACUUUAAGUCUCCUGAAGGAACGUUGAAGACGACGACGUUGAUAGGCCGGGUGUGUAAGCGCAGCGAUGCGUUGAGCUAACCGGUACUAAUGAACCGUGAGGCUUAACCU
rnacentral:rRNA from 1 species